UCGGUUGUGGUUGUUAGCGGU
rnacentral:siRNA from 1 species